rnacentral:rRNA from 1 species
AGUGGCAGACGGGUGAGUAACAUGUAGAUAUCUGCCCUUUGGCCUGGAAUAACACGAGGAAACUUGUGCUAAUACCGGAUAAGUCUUUACGGAGAAAGCUUUAUGCACCAUUGGAUGAGCCUGCACUUGAUUAGUUUGUUGGUGGGGUAAUGGCCUACCAAGACUUUGAUCAAUAGCUGAUUUGAGAGGAUGAUCAGCCACAUUGGGACUGAGACACGGCCCAAACUCCUACGGGAGGCAGCAGUGGGGAAUCUUGCACAAUGGAGGAAACUCUGAUGCAGCGACGCCGCGUGAGUGAAGAAGGCCUUUGGGUUGUAAAGCUCUUUCGUCGGGGAAGAAAAUGACUGUACCCGAAUAAGAAGGUCCGGCUAACUUCGUGCCAGCAGCCGCGGUAAUACGAAGGGACCUAGCGUAGUUCGGAAUUACUGGGCUUAAAGAGUUCGUAGGUGGUUGAAAAAGUUGGUGGUGAAAUCCCAGAGCUUAACUCUGGAACUGCCAUCAAAACUUUUCAGCUAGAGUUUGAUAGAGGAAAGCAGAAUUUCUAGUGUAGAGGUGAAAUUCGUAGAUAUUAGAAAGAAUACCAAUUGCGAAGGCAGCUUUCUGGAUCAUUACUGACACUGAGGAACGAAAGCAUGGGUAGCGAAGAGGAUUAGAUACCCUCGUAGUCCAUGCCGUAAACGAUGUGUGUUAGACGUUGGGAAUUUAUUCUCAGUGUCGCAGCGAAAGCGAUAAACACACCGCCUGGGGAGUAC